rnacentral:rRNA from 1 species
UACGUAGGGGGCAAGCGUUGUCCGGAUUUAUUGGGCGUAAAGAGCGUGUAGGCGGUUUGGUAGGUCCGCUGUGAAAACUCGAGGCUCAACCUCGAGACGCCGGUGGAAACCAUCAGACUAGAGUCCGGAAGAGGAGAGUGGAAUUCCUGGUGUAGCGGUGAAAUGCGCAGAUAUCAGGAGGAACACCAGCGGCGAAGGCGGCGCUCUGGGCCGGUACUGACGCUGAGACGCGAAAGCGUGGGGAGCGAACAGG